rnacentral:rRNA from 1 species
GACGAACGCUGGCGGCGUGCUUAACACAUGCAAGUCGAACGGAAAGGCCCUGCUUGCAGGGUGCUCGAGUGGCGAACGGGUGAGUAACACGUGGGUGAUCUGCCCCUUACUUUGGGAUAAGCCUGGGAAACUGGGUCUAAUACUGGAUAGGACCAUGCUGUAGGUGGUGUGGUGGAAAGAUUAGUUUCGGUAAGGGAUGAGCUCGCGGCCUAUCAGCUUGUUGGUGGGGUAAUGGCCUACCAAGGCGUCGACGGGCAGCCGGCCUGAGAGGGUGGACGGCCACAUUGGGACUGAGAUACGGCCCAGACUCCUACGGGAGGCAGCAGUGGGGAAUAUUGCACAAUGGGCGCAAGCCUGAUGCAGCGACGCCGCGUGGGGGAUGACGGCCUUCGGGUUGUAAACUCCUUUCAGCCAUGACGAAGCCCUUGUGGUGACGGUAGUGGUAGAAGAAGCACCGGCUAACUACGUG